UACGGGGGGAGCAAGCGUUGUUCGGAUUUACUGGGCGUAAGGGGCGCGUAGGCGGCGUGACAAGUCACUUGUGAAAUCUCCGGGCUUAACCCGGAGCGGUCAAGUGAUACUGUCGUGCUAGAGUGCGGAAGGGGCUACUGGAAUUCUCGGUGUAGCGGUGAAAUGCGUAGAUAUCGAGAGGAACACCUGCGGCGAAGGCGGGUAGCUGGGCCGACACUGACGCUGAUGCGCGAAAGCCAGGGGAGCGAACGGG
rnacentral:rRNA from 1 species